CUGAAGCGGGCAGCGCCCCUUGGCCGACUUUCUCUCUCCAACGUCAUACACCGACAACACAAGCAGCACUUGCGAUCCUCUCUCCCUUCCCUUCUCCCUCUUUUUAUUCCGUAGCAGAGACACACGUAUCUCGAAACGGAAACGAAGACGUUUUUUUUGUUCGGCGAAGCAUGCUCCGCGCGACUGCAUUGUCAUUGGGCAAAGCCCUCGUCAUUGCUGAGAUGGUGGGUGGGAAGGUCUCACCAGCGACGCUGUCCGCCAUUACAGGGGCCGCGAAGGUGGGCCCGGUGGCGGUCCUGGUGGCCGGUGCGUCCGCCAAGGCUGAGGCCCAGGUGCUGGCCAAGAUCAAGUCUGUAGCGAGCGUGCUGGUGACGGUCGGGGAGCAAUACAGCCACGGCCUCCCGGAGGAGUACGCUCCGCUCAUCGACGUGGCGGUGAGAGCGAACGGUUACACGCACGUAUUUGCCGGGACUUCGGCAUUCGGCAAAAAUGUCAUCCCUAGGGCGGCAGCGAGGCAGAGCUGCAUGCCCAUUCCCGAAGUCACGGAGAUUGUGGACGAGAACACGUUUGUGCGGCAGACGUACGCCGGCAAUGCAAUCACGACCAUCAAGUCGUCUGACAAGAUCAAGUACUGCACCUUGCGCGGUACGGCGUUUGAGCGAGCCGAGUUGGACGGUGGUAGCGCCGCAGUGGCGGAACUCGCCGCGACCCCGGAGGUGGGUAAGGCAAAGUUUUUAGAGGACCAGCUGUCCACCAGCGACAAGCCUGACCUGAUGACAGCGGCGACCGUCAUCUCCGGCGGCCGAGGUAUGAAGAACGGCGAUAACUUCAAGAUGCUCGAGGAGCUGGCCUCCCCGCUGAACGCAGCCGUCGGCGCUACCCGCGCUGUUGUGGAUGCUGGCUACGUGCCAAACGAGAUGCAGGUCGGCCAGACGGGCAAGACCGUCGCGCCGAACUUCUACCUCGCGUGCGGUAUCUCCGGCGCUAUCCAGCACGUGGCCGGCAUGAAAGACUCGAAGGUAAUCGCCGUGGUCAACACGGACGAGGAGGCGCCCUUCUUCCAAAUCGCCGACUACGGCAUUGUCGAUGAUCUCUUCAAAGUGGUGCCGGCGCUAACGGAGAAGGUCAAGGCGGCUAACGGCAAGUGAGACCUCCCCGCAAAACGGAUUGGCGCAUACGAUGUACGACAACGGAGAGGUGACGACGUUGCACGAGGCGCGUGACGCAAGGAAGGCGGACUCGAAGUACAGCGCUUAUUCGUGGACGCAUCGUCGGCACAAGUGCUUGUGUCUCGACCAUACAACGCGGCCCUCACUCCCCACCACACACGGGUCACUGCAACUUUUUUCUUUUCCUUUGUAUGUCGUCAUUCGCAUUCCGAGUCGAAGGGGCGGAUGUAUGAACCGGAACGAAGAACGCCAGCGCUGGGCAGCUGUUAUGCGACAGGGCAAAGAGGUUCUCCAAGGGCUGAACACAGGUAUGUGUCUGGGUGAGUGGGCCAUGAGUGUGUCUCCUUAUGUAUGUUCGGCUUGUAUGGCAAAGACGCACUCGUGGCGCACCCAUCGACCCGAACCCUCUCCCACGUUUUUAAACCUUUUUUUUUUGCUUGCGGCUCCAUGCUCCUGACACGACGGUGGCCCGUCGCGUGCAUCUCUCCCGUUCAGAGUGUCGGUGGGCAUUGUGACAUGGUGUACAGCGACGAGGUGGCCGUGACUGCAAAGCCAGCCAUGCCAGAGGCGCCGACGCUAAGUGCAUGGACGGCGGAUCUGGUCGCCGGCCUCAGACGCCAGGCCGCCAUCCCCCGAAACCGCGCCACAUGCUGAGACAAGAGGUUCUUGGCGGCAACGGUCCCACAUCAAAAGAGCGCGGAUGCUGAGCUUGCAAGACGACAGGCGACCAUGCUCCCCUGGCUCCGCACGGGCACGCGCCCGCACUUUGGAUCGCUGCAGCGGCGGGUGGCUGUCAGCGACCACCAUGGGGGGCGAGGAUGGCGUGCUGCCUGCUGUUCCGCUAGCACCGCAGUACUCCCCCCCUCCACCGCCGGAGUCUCCGCCCCGAAACAGGGCCCGGGGUCGCGGCCCCGCUUCGGAUCAAGGCACGCAGUCCGGCCCGGUCGGUGUGGCUGCUGAUCGCGCAGCACGCAUGCGAGGCAGAGGGACGAGGCAAGGGCAAGAGGAGCCCGUGAGGCGCACGGCCCGGCUUGACGGCAGGAAGGCUCGGAGUUACUCGUGGUGCAGCACGAAUAGGAAAAGUGUGUUUGCAUGUGCGGAGUUGUUGGCAUGUUGGUGGCAGAGCGGCUACGUCGCCGAGAAAACUGUGUUUCUCCGAAGGAGAUGCCCCAUGAUUUCGCAAAGAAAAAGAUGUGAGGUGGCGCGCAACCUGUGAGUGAAAGGCAUGCUGUCUACGCAUCGCCGGCUUCCCCAACUGCUUCCCUUUCGUUGUGUGCCCCCCAGCGCGCACACGCCCCUUGCAUGCGUAUUAUCACGCGCAUCGGCCCUUCGUGUGUGUGUGUGUGUUGUUGCUCAAUUUGUUUUCUGUUUUUUUUUUCCUCUCUUUUCCGAGUGGGACCUCCAUCUGCGUCACUUUCUUUUUUUUUUGUAUGCUUCUGCCUUUGUGUCCUUCUUGACGCGUCUUUGUUGCCGUGGCGGGGAAACAGCCGAACACGCCGGGCGGUGUGCUCGGGACGCUACAGACAGCCAAAGAAAAAAAAGCAAUCAAGGUAGGCAAGACUGGAGGAAGGGAAAGGAGGAAAGAGAAGAGGAGUGGGGAGGGGAAACCUUAGAAAAAGGGCGAGCCCGCCACCGCGGGUGUGUCGGCAUGAGGGGUCAUGUGUGUGGGUGGGUGCGGGGGGGGGGUCUUUCACGGGCACGGACGCAACGGUUUCUCUCUCUCUUUGUCUUUUGUUGUUGCGUUCUAAUGGCUCUCCUUCCGUGCUGUUCUCCGCAUACAGGGCGCACGCACGCACAAACGCAUAUGCGUAAGUACAUGUGUACGUGCAUGUGUGUGUGUGUGAUUUUGCUUGCUUUUUUUUUUUCGAAGUAUGGCGUCUCUCUCUCAUUCUCGUCGGCACAUUUCGUUGUGGCGGUUCCUCUUUUGUGUUUACCUGUGCUGUUGUGCAUGUCUAUGUCUCUUCAUCUGUCGCUGCCUUUCUCUGCGAGUGACCCUCUCGUUUUUCGUUUUUAUUUGCGCGUCUCUGUGCGUGGCUGUGGGCGUCCUUGUGUUGCGCGUCUUCGCGAUUUCGUCUCCCUUCUCAUC
rnacentral:misc_RNA from 1 species